GAGCGGCGUACGGGUGCGGAACACGUGUGCAACCUGCCUUUAUCAGGGGGAUAGCCUUUCGAAAGGAAGAUUAAUACCCCAUAAUAUUUAGAAUGGCAUCAUUUUAAAUUGAAAACUCCGGUGGAUAGAGAUGGGCACGCGCAAGAUUAGAUAGUUGGUGAGGUAACGGCUCACCAAGUCUGCGAUCUUUAGGGGGCCUGAGAGGGUGAUCCCCCACACUGGUACUGAGACACGGACCAGACUCCUACGGGAGGCAGCAGUGAGGAAUAUUGGACAAUGGGUGCGAGCCUGAUCCAGCCAUCCCGCGUGAAGGAUGACGGCCCUAUGGGUUGUAAACUUCUUUUGUAUAGGGAUAAACCUAGAUACGUGUAUCUAGCUGAAGGUACUAUACGAAUAAGCACCGGCUAACUCCGUGCCAGCAGCCGCGGUAAUACGGAGGGUGCAAGCGUUAUCCGGAUUUAUUGGGUUUAAAGGGUCCGUAGGCGGAUCUGUAAGUCAGUGGUGAAAUCUCACAGCUUAACUGUGAAACUGCCAUUGAUACUGCAGGUCUUGAGUGUUGUUGAAGUAGCUGGAAUAAGUAGUGUAGCGGUGAAAUGCAUAGAUAUUACUUAGAACACCAAUUGCGAAGGCAGGUUACUAAGCAACAACUGACGCUGAUGGACGAAAGCGUGGGGAGCGAACAGGAUUAGAUACCCUGGUAGUCCACGCCGUAAACGAUGCUAACUCGUUUUUGGAGCGCAAGCUUCAGAGACUAAGCGAAAGUGAUAAGUUAGCCACCUGGGGAGUACGAACGCAAGUUUGAAACUCAAAGGAAUUGACGGGGGCCCGCACAAGCGGUGGAUUAUGUGGUUUAAUUCGAUGAUACGCGAGGAACCUUACCAAGGCUUAAAUGGGAAAUGACAGGCUUAGAAAUAGGCUUUUCUUCGGACAUUUUUCAAGGUGCUGCAUGGUUGUCGUCAGCUCGUGCCGUGAGGUGUUAGGUUAAGUCCUGCAACGAGCGCAACCCCUGUCACUAGUUGCCAUCAUUAAGUUGGGGACUCUAGUGAGACUGCCUACGCAAGUAGAGAGGAAGGUGGGGAUGACGUCAAAUCAUCACGGCCCUUACGCCUUGGGCCACACACGUAAUACAAUGGCCGGUACAGAGGGCAGCUACACAGUGAUGUGAUGCAAAUCUCGAAAGCCGGUCUCAGUUCGGAUUGGAGUCUGCAACUCGACUCUAUGAAGCUGGAAUCGCUAGUAAUCGCGCAUCAGCCAUGGCGCGGUGAAUACGUUCCCGGGCCUUGUACACACCGCCCGUCAAGCCAUGGAAGUCUGGGGUACCUGAAGUCGGUGACC
rnacentral:rRNA from 1 species